UAUACUUCUUGGGUUUUGCACAUAUGGUUUGUUUUCGGAGGAAAGACUGGAAUGCUUCAUAGCUCUAAAGUGUAUGAUGUCAUAGCUGAGCAGGUCAAGGUCCUGAAAAGGUUCAGGACAUUGCAUCUCACUAUGGUACUAUAAGCCUGCAAAUGAUUAAUUUCGAGGAUCACAUGUGUUUAGUUUCAGAAUCAGUUUGAGCCCUCUAUCUAUUGAUUCUUUUAGUAUGAGUUCGAGCCCUCUAAUUAAUUCUUGAACUAAUUCUUUUUUCCACCAAGAACAUAGUAGAACUAGAUAGUUGGAUUCACAAGAUCUGUUAGAACAACUACCAGCACUGCAGCAGGUAUUGUACAGACUUGUAGGUAUUUACAGGCACCUCCUCAUUAUUAGUUAUUGAUGCCAUCCUGGAUGCAGUUUCAUUGGAUGGGGAGGGAGCAACUGCUGGGCAGCAGUCAGCCGCCAACUCAUUGUAGCCAGGAUCUUUGGUUCAGAAAUGAUGGUCUUGUUUGCAAAAUAGUAAAGGAGCACGAACGGCAUGCUGCAACUGCUCUGUGUUCAGAAACUGCCACGCCGCCGACUGUUCCCCACCAUCACGGCCGCCUUUGCCCCGAUCCGGCAGCCGGGGUCGACCUCUCGCACCGCCCCGCGACGACCGCCUUCGCCCAGCUGGAGGGCUUGUGGUAGUGCAAACAAGCAGAUGAUGAAAGUGACAUCCCUCCAGCAGAUAGUCUUUGUUAUUGCAAUGUCUUUUACAUUAGGCCAUGUUCCAACUUGAUUUGUCAUACAUACAUGCCUUUUUUUUUUGCACUGCUUGGUCUGGCAGCUGAGGCCCGCGAGUGACAUCAUGACAAUUGCUGUUUUCAGCCAUGAGGUGGUCCUUUUGUUUUGUGAUACCCAAGCAAUCUGGACAGAUAAUGCUGAUUUGUACUUCUGUAUACAAAACUUGGAUGAAUCUAAAAAAACUUCAGUUCGCAACUGUAAAGCUGACUAUUAUGUUUAUAUUCCUGCAGUUUUCUCACCAUGAACCUUUUGUUACCCACGUCUUAGUAACAUGAGGAGUUGGUUAUAUUGGAUCACAUGCCUCUUUAAGGCUCUUCAAGGAUAACUAUCGAGUUACCAUUGUGAGGAAACAUGGGAGCAGUAAAGGUUCUGCAGGAGUUAUUUCCGCAGCCUGGGAGGCUACAAUUCAUCUUUGCUGAUCUGGGAGGCUACAAUCCAAAGUUUUGUUUUUCACUUAACUGGCUCCCAGGUCAACAAGAUAUUUGCUGAAAAUGCAUUUGAUGCUGUGAUGCACUUUGCUGUAGUUGCUUAUGUGGGUGAAAGCACACUGGAACCCCUUAGAUGUUUGAUAUAACGAGGGGACAAGGCAGGCAUGGCCAGCGACUGGUGGGAAAGCAUGCGGCAAGUCAGACAUUGCCUGUCGAGGCCCUAGGAAAGAACGCAACUUCGACUCCUACUCGGCGAGAGCUAUUUGGAGCGUUAUUCAGUUCGUUUGCAGUGAAUAGAACGCAAUGCAUUAUUGAAAAAGCAGCUGUGUCCGUAGAGAUAUCAUAUUUCGAACAUAUUUUUAUAAUUAUAUACUCAUACAUAAUUACAUACCAUUAUGCACUA